CGGCAGGCUUAACACAUGCAAGUCGAGGGGCAGCGAGAUGUAGCAAUACAUGUCGGCGACCGGCGCACGGGUGCGUAACGCGUAUGCAACCUACCAUAUACAGGAGGAUAACCAUUCGAAAGAAUGACUAAUACUCCAUAGUAUUAUUUUGAGGCAUCUUAGAAUAAUUAAAGAAUUUCGGUAUAUGCUGGGCAUGCGUGACAUUAGCUAGUUGGAGAGGUAGCGGCUCACCAAGGCUACGAUGUCUAGGGGUUUUGAGAGGAAGAUCCCCCACACUGGUACUGAGACACGGACCAGACUCCUACGGGAGGCAGCAGUGAGGAAUAUUGGUCAAUGGACGGAAGUCUGAACCAGCCAUGCCGCGUGAAGGAAGACUGCCCUAUGGGUUGUAAACUUCUUUUAUACGGGGAUUAAACCUAUCUUUGCGAAGAUAGCUGAAGGUACCGUAUGAAUAAGCAUCGGCUAACUCCGUGCCAGCCGCCGC
rnacentral:rRNA from 1 species